rnacentral:misc_RNA from 1 species
UCCGGUUUGUCACCGGCAGUCCCAUUAGAGUGCCCAACUGAAUGUAGCAACUAAUGGUAAGGGUUGCGCUCGUUGCGGGACUUAACCCAACAUCUCACGACACGAGCUGACGACAGCCAUGCAGCACCUGUGUUGCGGUUCCCUUUCGGGCACCAAGACAUCUCUGUCCCGUUCCGCACAUGUCAAGGGUAGGUAAGGUUUUUCGCGUUGCAUCGAAUUAAUCCACAUAAUCCACCGCUUGUGCGGGUCCCCGUCAAUUCGAAGCAACGCGAAGAACCUUACCAGCUCU